AGUGAACGCUGGCGGUAGGCCUAACACAUACAAGUCGAACGGCAGCACAGUAAGAGCUUGCUCUUACGGGUGGCGAGUGGCGGACGGGUGAGGAAUACAUCGGAAUCUACUUUUUCGUGGGGGAUAACGUAGGGAAACUUACGCUAAUACCGCAUACGACCUACGGGUGAAAGCAGGGGAUCUUCGGACCUUGCGCGAUUGAAUGAGCCGAUGUCGGAUUAGCUAGUUGGCGGGGUAAAGGCCCACCAAGGCGACGAUCCGUAGCUGGUCUGAGAGGAUGAUCAGCCACACUGGAACUGAGACACGGUCCAGACUCCUACGGGUGGCAGCAGUGGGGAAUAUUGGACAAUGGGCGCAAGCCUGAUCCAGCCAUACCGCGUGGGUGAAGAAGGCCUUCGGGUUGUAAAGCCCUUUUGUUGGGAAAGAAAAGCAGCAGGUUAAUACCCCGCUGUUCUGACGGUACCCAAAGAAUAAGCACCGGCUAACUUCGUG
rnacentral:rRNA from 1 species